rnacentral:rRNA from 1 species
GACGAACGCUGGCGGCGUGCUUAACACAUGCCAGUCGAACGGAAAGGCCCUGCUUUUGUGGGGUGCUCGAGUGGCGAACGGGUGAGUAACACGUGAGUAACCUGCCCUUGACUUUGGGAUAACUUCAGGAAACUGGGGCUAAUACCGGAUAGGAGCUCCUGCUGCAUGGUGGGGGUUGGAAAGUUUCGGCGGUUGGGGAUGGACUCGCGGCUUAUCAGCUUGUUGGUGGGGUAGUGGCUUACCAAGGCUUUGACGGGUAGCCGGCCUGUGAGGGUGACCGGCCACAAUGGGACUGAGAUACGGCCCAGACUCCUACGGGAGGCAGCAGUGGGGAAUAUUGCACAAUGGGCGGAAGCCUGAUGCAGCAACGCCGCGUGCGGGAUGACGGCCUUCGGGUUGUAAACCGCUUUCGCCUGUGACGAAGCGUGAGUGACGGUAAUGGGUAAAGAAGCACCGGCUAACUACGUG